GCCAACCAUUCUCUGGGGGUUUGUCUCUGCGAAUUUAUUAAUGCAUACAUUUUUCGAUUACCCCUGAAUAAAAUUUAAAAUCUGGAUGAUGAGCAUCAAUUCUAACUGUUACAGGUUGGCUUGCAACAGCCUUGAGAAGGGCUGCCUCGUUGAAUGGAUCUACAAAUGCGAAUUGAUCGAUGGUUACCCUCACGCCUUGUGCCUUUGAAGGGUCGCAUUCUCAUUUGAUAGCUGUGGGCGAGCCACCAUCACGUUUCUAUGAAACUCAAGCCAAAAGAAAAUAGAUUCUAAGUCUUCCGAAAUAACAUGAAAAAUGACCUAAUAAAACUUAGAAUCUAUUUUCUUUUGUUUCGAACUUCAUAGGAACGUGAUGGUGGCUCGUCCACCUGUUGUAUAGCUUUAAUAAACUCUCCUCACUCUC